rnacentral:lncRNA from 1 species
UUCUCCUAAAAUUAUGAUUGAUAAAUUUAGAAAGUCAAGAAAGUUUGAGUGGGGCAUCUGUCUUGAGAUCAGGUAACAGCUAUAUGUAUUCAAGUUCAGCACCUACUCAGCAGUUCUGACCAAGGCACAACUAAUAGAGAGGAACCUUUGUAUCUUCCCUCCAGCAGUGAGUAAUUUCAGACCCCUAGUUUCACAUCGUAGACCAGUACCUACUGCACCGAUUCAGCAGAAUAAGAGAGCUAGGCCUAUAACUUAAGCUCAUUCUCAGACUCCGCCAACAGGAUGUGGUAGAACUUACCAACACUGUGGCAAAGAUCAUGGAGACCGACUCUGCUAUCACCUGAACAAUACUUGCCACAUAUGUGGAAGUGCUUAACACUACAUUAGAGAGUGCCCAUGAAACCAGAAUCAGACCAAACCUCCUAUCCAAG